rnacentral:tmRNA from 1 species
GGGGGUGAAAUGGAUUCGACAGGGUGGAAGAUUGACGUAAAUGCAUGCCGAGCUACGCUGGUGGAGCUCGUAAAUACAACCGGCGAAACACAGUUGGCAACAACUACAGCUACGCUAUGGCUGCUUAAUAACCAGUUAUAGUUGAAAAUGUUGAGCAUAGCUCCGUUUUCCAUCGUACUCAGGUGAGCCGUUGCGCUUGAACUACGGUGACAUUUUUUAGCGGAUUGCAAUAGUAUGUUUCUUUCCGUACCAUUGUGAAAUAAUAGAACGAUAGUUAUUGGUGUACGUGUUGUUUCGUGAACCCAAUAGCGAAAAUUUGUAGAACAACUACGCAUGGAGUAAGUUACGCGUUCUGCACUUUGGACGCGGGUUCGACUCCCGCCACCUCCACAA